AUUGAACGCUGGCGGCAGGCCUAACACAUGCAAGUCGAACGGUAACAGGAAACAGCUUGCUGUUUCGCUGACGAGUGGCGGACGGGUGAGUAAUGUCUGGGAAACUGCCUGAUGGGGGGGGAUAACUACUGGAAACGGUAGCUAAUACCGCAUAACGUCGCAAGACCAAAGAGGGGGACCUUCGGGCCUCUUGCCAUCGGAUGUGCCCAGAUGGGAUUGGCUAGUAGGUGGGGUAACGGCUCACCUAGGCGACGAUCCCUAGCUGGGCUGAGAGGAUGACCAGACACACUGGCACUGAGACACGGUCCAGACUCCUACGGGAGGCAGCAGUGGGGAAUAUUGCACAAUGGGCGCAAGCCUGAUGCAGCCAUGCCGCGUGUAUGAAGAAGGCCUUCGGGUUGUAAAGUACUUUCAGCGGGGAGGAAGGGAGUAAAGUUAAUACCUUUGCUCAUUGACGUUACCCGCAGAAGAAGCACCGGCUAACUCCGUGCCAGCAGCCGCCGUAA
rnacentral:rRNA from 1 species